GGSUCCUUGGUUUUAAGAGUAGUAUAAGGAGUCGGGCCUGCCCGGUGACGUUGAGUUAAACGGUCGCAAUUAAUAGUUGUGSUAAGGUAGSGCAAUCAAUCGUCUCUUAAUUGGAGAAAGGUAUGAAUGGUUUGACGAGGGAAAAACUGUCUCAAAUAUAGAUUUUGAAGUUUUCUUUUAAGUGAAAAGACUUAAAUUUUUAAAUAAGAAGAGAAGACCCCGGUGAGCUUGAUUAGUUUUAGUUGGGUAGUUAAAAUGAAGUUUUGUUGGGGCAACAGGAAAAGAAAAAGAUUUUUUCUUAUAUAAUGGAGAUCUUCUUUGAGUGAAUUAAGCAAAAGCUACCACGGGGAUAACAGCGCAAUCCUUCUAUAGAGACCAAAUCGANGGAGGGGUUUGCGACCUCGAUGUUGAUUNGAGUUUCGUUUUGGUGCAGAAGCUAAAA
rnacentral:rRNA from 1 species